GGCUCUCAGACCUUUCGGAGCUUCCAUCUGUGUCCCUGUGAACAUCAACAGGACUUGUUUCCAGAACCUCAGCUGUUCCAGAUUCAAUGGCAUCCCCAGCCCCACAAAGUCAGCCUUGUGCUUACUGACUACAUGGUGUGGCUUUCUCACGCCUCCUGCUUGGCAUGGACAGUCUUGUCUCUGCCCAUCACAUUCCUACCCUUCGUUCAAGACCCAGACACCAAAUGCUCAAACCCAGAUGGUGGUUAAGAGGAUGGAAUCUACAACCAGAUUGACCAGUUUCCUUUGCAGUAAAAUGUGAAUAAAAAGAAAAUCUACAUAAUAAUAGAUAUUCUGUGAGGAUUACAUGAAUUCAUAUUUGAAGAGUGAGCAGAAGGGUUCCUGGCACAAGCUCUACAAGUGUGACUGGAACGAAGACGAUGAUGAGGAUGAAGAUGAGGAUGGCAAGGCUGGAGCUCAAGUGCCACACUGUGUCCUGGAGCAGAAGCCACGUGUUGAGGACAGUCUGGACCCUUAACGAGGGUUGAGC